rnacentral:rRNA from 1 species
AUUGAACGCUGGCGGCAGGCCUAACACAUUCAAGUCGAACGGUAACAGGAAGCAGCUUGCUGCUUCGCUGACGAGUGGCGGACGGGUGAGUAAUGUCUGGGAAGCUGCCUGAUGGAGGGGGAUAACUACUGGAAACGGUAGCUAAUACCGCAUAAUGUCGCAAGACCAAAGAGGGGGACCUUCGGGCCUCUUGCCAUCGGAUGUGCCCAGAUGGGAUUAGCUUGUUGGUGGGGUAACGGCUCACCAAGGCGACGAUCCCUAGCUGGUCUGAGAGGAUGACCAGCCACACUGGAACUGAGACACGGUCCAGACUCCUACGGGAGGCAGCAGUGGGGAAUAUUGCACAAAGGGCGCAAGCCUGAUGCAGCCAUGCCGCGUGUAUGAAGAAGGCCUUCGGGUUGUAAAGUACUUUCAGCGGGGAGGAAGGGAGUAAAGUUAAUACCUUUGCUCAUUGACGUUACCCGCAGAAGAAGCACCGGCUAACUCCGCG